AUUGAACGCUGGCGGCAGGCCUAACACAUGCAAGUCGAACGGUAACAGGAAGAAGCUUGCUUAUUUGCUGACGAGUGGCGGACGGGUGAGUAAUGUCUGGGAAACUGCCUGAUGGAGGGGGAUAACUACUGGAAACGGUAGCUAAUACCGCAUAACGUCGCAAGACCAAAGAGGGGGACCUUCGGGCCUCUUGCCAUCGGAUGUGCCCAGAUGGGAUUAGCUAGUAGGUGGGGUAACGGCUCACCUAGGCGACGAUCCCUAGCUGGUCUGAGAGGAUGACCAGCCACACUGGAACUGAGACACGGUCCAGACUCCUACGGGAGGCAGCAGUGGGGAAUAUUGCACAAUGGGCGCAAGCCUGAUGCAGCCAUGCCGCGUGUAUGAAGAAGGCCUUCGGGUUGUAAAGUACUUUCAGCGGGGAGGAAGGGAGUAAAGUUAAUACCUUUACUCAUUGACGUUACCCGCAGAAGAAGCACCGGCUAACUCCGUG
rnacentral:rRNA from 1 species